GCACUAAUGGUGUAGUGGUAACAUAUAACACUUCCAAGUAAUCACCUGAUUACUAAGUUAUGUUGUGCCGGGGGUUCGAUUCCCUCUUAGUGCA
rfam:Penicillium expansum strain MD-8 contig35, whole genome shotgun sequence.